GUCGGAAUUGCUAGUAAUCGCAGAUCAGCAUGCUGCGGUGAAUACGUUCCCGGGCCUUGUACACACCGCCCGUCACACCAUGAGAGUCGAUAACACCCGAAGCCUGUAGUCUAACCAUAAGGGGGACGCAGUCGAAGGUGGGAUUGAUAAUUAGGGUGAAGUCGUAACAAGGUACC
rnacentral:rRNA from 1 species